AUUGAACGCUGGCGGCAUGCCUUACACAUGCAAGUCGAACGGCAGCACGGGAGCAAUCCUGGUGGCGAGUGGCGAACGGGUGAGUAAUAUAUCGGAACGUGCCCAGUCGUGGGGGAUAACGUAGCGAAAGCUACGCUAAUACCGUAUACGAUCUACGGAUGAAAGCGGGGGGAUCGCAAGACCUCGCGCGAUUGGAGCGGCCGAUAUCAGAUUAGGUAGUUGGUGAGGUAAAGGCUCACCAAGCCGACGAUCUGUAGCUGGUCUGAGAGGACGACCAGCCACACUGGGACUGAGACACGGCCCAGACUCCUACGGGAGGCAGCAGUGGGGAAUUUUGGACAAUGGGCGCAAGCCUGAUCCAGCAAUGCCGCGUGCAGGAUGAAGGCCUCGGGUUGUAACGUA
rnacentral:rRNA from 1 species